CUCAGCUCUUCUGGGAGCCUUGGGAAGAGCCAGCGCUCCUGGAGAACUUGCCUAUCUGAAGGCUGAAUGUCUGCUUAAGUAUCAGGCUGGAAUGGGAGCAGGACUGGUGCAGCUGACCCACACCGAGAGCCACCAGGACAUCAGCUCCUGGCCUGUCUAGGUACACAAUUUCCACAGUGCCAGAAAAGGAGCUCCCGCUCUCUGGUCCCGGUGACGGAGAGGUCGAUGGUGAUGCAGCACUCACAGCCAAGUGGGCUACAAGCCCAGUAGCCCAGCUCAUCCCCACACUGGGGAAGGGACCCCAGUCCCACAGGCAAGGACCUCGGGCUGCCAAAAAUAGUAAAGCUGCGCU
rnacentral:lncRNA from 1 species